rnacentral:lncRNA from 1 species
GAGUGACUGCCCGGGAGGGCUGGAGGAAGCUUGUAUGAGACAGAUGGCCUCCUUGGCGAGUUGUAACCGGCAGACCUUCAAACCGCACAAAGGCUAAGCAAAGCCACAACUGGAUGCAGCAAGACUAAAAGCUUUAUAAUAUACUCUGGCCUGAGCCCGAACCAGGCCAAUCAACGUGCUGGCCCGAACCAGGCCAAUCAACGUGCUGGCCCGAGCCCGGCCCGGGCCCACAGUCAAAAGUCCGAGCCCAUCCCAGGCCUGGGCUUUCGGCUCAGCAAAGUCUGCGGAUCUGGUUAUGCUUCCUGUACGAGACAGAUCACGAAGUGGUAGCUGACUGACCAGUUGGGGCGAAAAUUUGUGUGGGAAGGACGUAAGAGAAAGUUGACAUUCAGGAACCUUCACCUUGCUGAGUGCAUCAUAAAUGCAGUGCAGAGCUGCCAUAAAUGUGAAGACUUCAAGGUAGAAACCAUGGUCACAGAUUAACUUCGCCACGCACCUGCCUGACAUCAGUCAUCUCAAAUGGAACAUUCUGCACCACAGGAGAGAGAGAUGUGAACUGCCUUAAGUGGGCCUUGAAUGUGCUGAGCUUUUUAUUAUGUUUAUCAGACAUUUUUUUAAGCAAAGUAUCCUGCAUUGUUCAGUAAGUAUACUUCAUUUUGAAAACCUCAUGCUGUCUAUGCAGCAUUGUUCAAAAAUUAUACUUUAUUUUAAAAGCAUCAAGCACUGCUCGUCUGUCUAACAGUAACAAUAAAGAGUUAAUGG